rnacentral:lncRNA from 1 species
GGAAUAUUUAAGCGUAGUGAUAUCCUGAUUUUACCGGAAGUUGAUGACAGACUGAUCACUGAUCUUCACAAAGUGAAACCUAAUGAAAUUUAGUAAAACAGUUAUUAAUAUUUGAAAAACAGAUUGAAUUUUGGUAAGAUACUAUGUUUUUUGUUGAAAUGCAUGAACUGAUUACAAAACCAUUCAUUCGAUCUCCCAUGAAGCCC